rnacentral:rRNA from 1 species
GACGAACGCUGGCGGCGCGCCUAACACAUGCAAGUCGAACGAGCGAGAGAGAGCUUGCUUUCUCGAGCGAGUGGCGAACGGGUGAGUAACGCGUGAGGACCUGCCUCAAAGAGGGGGACAACAGUUGGAAACGACUGCUAAUACCGCAUAAGCCCACGGUGCCGCAUGGCACAGAGGGAAAAGAGCAAUCCGCUUUGAGAUGGCCUCGCGUCCGAUUAGCUAGUUGGUGAGGUAAUGGCCCACCAAGGCAACGAUCGGUAGCCGGACUGAGAGGUUGAACGGCCACAUUGGGACUGAGACACGGCCCAGACUCCUACGGGAGGCAGCAGUGGGGAUA